GACCGUGCAAAGGUAGCGCAAUCACUUGUCUUUUAAAUGAAGACCCGUAUGAAUGGUUAAACGAGGGCCUAACUGUCUCCCUAUUCUAGUCAAUGAAAUUGAUCUGCCCGUGCAGAAGCGGACAUAAAUAUACAAGACGAGAAGACCCUUUGGAGCUUAAGAUAAAAGACCAAUUAUGUCAAUAACCCCUAUAGAGACUAAACUAAAUAACCACUGGUCCAAAUCUUCGGUUGGGGCGACCACGGGAAAAAACGAAACUCCCAUGUAGAAAGGGAAACACCCCUAAAACUAAGAGAGACAUCUCUAAGAAACAGAACUUCUGACUAUUAAGAUCCGGCCACAUGCCGACCAACGAACCAAGUUACCCAAGGGAUAACAGCGCAAUCCCCUUCCAGAGUCCAUAUCGACAAGGGGGUUUACGACCUCGAU
rnacentral:rRNA from 1 species